rnacentral:rRNA from 1 species
AUACGUAGGGGGCGAGCGUUGUCCGGAAUGAUUGGGCGUAAAGGGCGCGUAGGCGGCCCGGUAAGUCUGGAGUGAAAGUCCUGUUUUUAAGAUGGGAAUUGCUUUGGAUACUGUCGGGCUUGAGUGCAGGAGAGGUAAGUGGAAUUCCCAGUGUAGCGGUGAAAUGCGUAGAGAUUGGGAGGAACACCAGUGGCGAAGGCGACUUACUGGACUGUAACUGACGCUGAGGCGCGAAAGUGUGGGGAGCAAACAGGAGUAGAUACCCUGGUAGUCCACACUGUAAACGAGGAAUGCUAGGUGUAGGGGGUAUCGACCCCUUCUGUGCCGCAGUCAACACAAUAAGCAUUCCGCCUGGGGAGUACGGCCGCAAGGUUGAAACUCAAAGGAAUUGACGGGG